AUACAGAUGACGAGUCCCAAAUGGGACGAAGCGUGCGUCCUAGAU
rnacentral:hammerhead_ribozyme from 1 species